rnacentral:lncRNA from 1 species
AAGGUGCUCGGUCCUUCCGAGGAAGCUAAGGCUGCGUUGGGGUGAGGCCCUCACUUCAUCCGGCGACUAGCACCGCGUCCGGCAGCGCCAGCCCUACACUCGCCCGCGCCAUGGCCUCUGUCUCCGAGCUCGCCUGCAUCUACUCGGCCCUCAUUCUGCACGACGAUGAGGUGACAGUCACGGAGGAUAAGAUCAAUGCCCUCAUUAAAGCAGCCGGUGUAAAUGUUGAGCCUUUUUGGCCUGGCUUGUUUGCAAAGGCCCUGGCCAACGUCAACAUUGGGAGCCUCAUCUGCAAUGUAGGGGCCGGUGGACCUGCUCCAGCAGCUGGUGCUGCACCAGCAGGAGGUCCUGCCCCCUCCACUGCUGCUGCUCCAGAAAGUGGAAGCAAAGAAAGAAGAAUCCGAGGAGUCUGAUGAUGACAUGGGCUUUGGUCUUUUUGACUAAACCUCUUUUAUAACAUGUUCAAUAAAAAGCUGAACUUUAC